rnacentral:rRNA from 1 species
GACGAACGCUGGCGGCGUGCCUAAUACAUGCAAGUAGAACGCUGAAGGAGGAGCUUGCUUCUCUGGAUGAGUUGCGAACGGGUGAGAACGCGUAGGUAACCUGCCUGGUAGCGGGGGAUAACUAUUGGAAACGAUAGCUAAUACCGCAUAAGAGUAGAUGUUGCAUGACAUUUGCUUAAAAGGUGCAAUUGCAUCACUACCAGAUGGACCUGCGUUGUAUUAGCUAGUUGGUGGGGUAACGGCUCACCAAGGCGACGAUACAUAGCCGACCUGAGAGGGUGAUCGGCCACACUGGGACUGAGACACGGCCCAGACUCCUACGGGAGGCAGCAGUAGGGAAUCUUCGGCAAUGGACGGAAGUCUGACCGAGCAACGCCGCGUGAGUGAAGAAGGUUUUCGGAUCGUAAAGCUCUGUUGUAAGAGAAGAACGAGUGUGAGAGUGGAAAGUUCACACUGUGACGGUAUCUUACCAGAAAGGGACGGCUAACUACGUG